rnacentral:rRNA from 2 species
ACGGGAGGCAGCAGUAGGGAAUCUUCCACAAUGGACGAAAGUCUGAUGGAGCAACGCCGCGUGAGUGAAGAAGGGUUUCGGCUCGUAAAACUCUGUUGUUAAAGAAGAACAUAUCUGAGAGUAACUGUUCAGGUAUUGACGGUAUUUAACCAGAAAGCCACGGCUAACUACGUGCCAGCAGCCGCGGUAAUACGUAGGUGGCAAGCGUUGUCCGGAUUUAUUGGGCGUAAAGCGAGCGCAGGCGGUUUUUUAAGUCUGAUGUGAAAGCCUUCGGCUCAACCGAAGAAGUGCAUCGGAAACUGGGAAACUUGAGUGCAGAAGAGGACAGUGGAACUCCAUGUGUAGCGGUGAAAUGCGUAGAUAUAUGGAAGAACACCAGUGGCGAAGGCGGCUGUCUGGUCUGUAACUGACGCUGAGGCUCGAAAGUAUGGGUAGCAAACAGGAUUAGAUACCCUGGUAGUCCAUACCGUAAACGAUGAAUGCUAAGUGUUGGAGGGUUUCCGCCCUUCAGUGCUGCAGCUAACGCAUUAAGCAUUCCGCCUGGGGAGUACGGCCGCAAGGCUGAAACUCAAAGGAAUUGACGGGGGCCCGCACAAGCGGUGGAGCAUGUGGUUUAAUUCGAAGCUACGCGAAGAACCUUACCAGGUCUUGACAUACUAUGCAAAUCUAAGAGAUUAGACGUUCCCUUCGGGGACAUGGAUACAGGUGGUGCAUGGUUGUCGUCAGCUCGUGUCGUGAGAUGUUGGGUUAAGUCCCGCAACGAGCGCAACCCUUAUUAUCAGUUGCCAGCAUUAAGUUGGGCACUCUGGUGAGACUGCCGGUGACAAACCGGAGGAAGGUGGGGAUGACGUCAAAUCAUCAUGCCCCUUAUGACCUGGGCUACACACGUGCUACAAUGGAUGGUACAACGAGUUGCGAACUCGCGAGAGUAAGCUAAUCUCUUAAAGCCAUUCUCAGUUCGGAUUGUAGGCUGCAACUCGCCUACAUGAAGUCGGAAUCGCUAGUAAUCGCGGAUCAGCAUGCCGCGGUGAAUACGUUCCCGGGCCUUGUACACACCGCCCGUCACACCAUGAGAGUUUGUAACACCCAAAGUCGGUGGGGUAACCUUUU